rnacentral:rRNA from 1 species
UACGUAGGGUCCGAGCGUUGUCCGGAAUUAUUGGGCGUAAAGGGCUCGUAGGCGGUUCGUCACGUCGGGAGUGAAAACUCGGAGCUUAACUCCGAGCCUGCUUCCGAUACGGGCAGACUAGAGGUAGGCAGGGGAGAGCGGAACUCCUGGUGUAGCGGUGGAAUGCGCAGAUAUCAGGAAGAACACCGGUGGCGAAGGCGGCUCUCUGGGCCUUACCUGACGCUGAGGAGCGAAAGCGUGGGCAGCGAACAGG